UGAAUACGAAAUGCUACGGCAUUGAAGUGAUCUAUGCCAGGCUUCCAAGAAAAUCUCGUCAUAUCUUAAGCAGUAGAUGCCUGUACCUUAAACCGACACAGGUAGGUAGGUAGAGUAUACCAAGGGGCGCGAGAUAACUCUCUCUAAGGAACUCGGCAAAAUAACCUCGUAACUUCGGAAGAAGAGGUACCCUUGAAAAAGGGUUGCAAUAACCAGACCCUGGCGACUGUUUACCAAAAACACAGGUCUCCGCUAAUUCGUAAGAUCAAGUAUGGAGGCUGACGCCUGCCCAGUGCCGGAAGGUUAAAGAAGUUGGUCAAUCUUUGGAUGAAGCUGGCGACUGAAGCCCCGGUGAACGGCGGCCGUAACAAUAACGGUCCUAAGGUAGCGAAGUUCCUUGUCGGGUAAGUUCCGACCCGCACGAAAGGCGUAACGAUCAGGGUGCUGUCUCGGAGAGAGACUCGGCGAAAUAGACAUGUCUGUGAAGAUGCGGACUACCUGCACCUGGACAGAAAGACCCUAUGAAGCUUUACUGUAUCUUGGAAUUGGGUUUGGGCCUUGCUUGCGCAGGAUAGGUGUAGGCUGUGAAGAUAUUCUUGCGGGAAUGUUGGAGCCAACGGUGAGAUACCACUCUAGUAAGGCUAAAAUUCUAACUCUGAACCGUUAUCCGGUCAGAGAACAGUUUCAGGUGGGCAGUUUGACUGGGGCGGUCGCCUCCUAAAAGGUAACGGAGGCGCGCAAGGGUUCCCUCAGGCUGGUUGGACAUCAGUCGUAGAGUGUAAAGGCAUAAGGGAGCUUGACUGCGAGACCCACAAGUCGAGCAGAGACGAAAGUCGGCCUUAGUGAUCCGACGGUUCCACGUGGAAGGGCCGUCGCUCAACGGAUAAAAGUUACUCUAGGAUAACAGGCUGAUCUCCCCCAAGAGUUCACAUCGACGGGGAGGUUUGGCACCUCGAUGUCGGCUCAUCGCAUCCUGGGGCGGUAGUACGUACCAAGGGUUGGGCUGUUCGCCCAUGAAAGCGGUACGCGAGCUGGGUUCAGAACGUCGUGAGACAGUUCGGUCCAUAUCCGGUGCAGGCGUUAGAGCAUUGAGAGGAGUCCCCCUUAGUACGAGAGGACCGGGGGGAAUACACCGCUGGUGUACCAGUUAUCGUGCCAACGGUAAACGCUGGGUAGCCAUGUGUAGCGCGGAUAACUGCUGAAAGCAUCUAAGUAGGAAGCCCACCUUAAGAUGAGUGCUCUCACCGCUAUAAGCGGGUAAGGUCACGGUAAGAACAACCGUUAUAUAGGCAUUAAGUAUACGUGCAGUAAUGCAUUUAGCUGAGAUGUACUAACAGACCGAGGGCUUGACU
rnacentral:rRNA from 1 species